AAACUGCCCUCAGGGCAAAGAAGCCUGCAGAAUAAUUGGGAGGAGUCUGGCAGGAAGGAAGCCAAGAGCUGCCUCCUGCCCCUGAGGGGAGGAGUCCAUCCUCUUCUAUAGGAUACACCUGUUGGCUUGUUUGUCCUUCCUUCCCCUUUCUGGGAAUUGUUCUCCAUCAACAUGUUUAUGGGGACAGCCAUUUCUAUACAAUGUGACCUGUAUUGAUCUAUUUUGUGUUGCUAUAAAUAAAUACCUGAGGCUGGUAAUUUUUAAAGAAGAGAGGUUAAUUUGGCCCAUAAUUCUGCAGGCUGUACAAGAAGCAUGGCACCAGCAUCUGCUUCUGGUGAGGCCGCAGGAAGCUUCCACUCAUGGUGGAAGGUGGAGGAGGAGCAGGCGUGUUAUAUGGCAAGAGCGAGAGCAAGAGAGAGAGCAGAAGGUGUCAGGCAACCAGCUCUCAUGUGAACUAAUGAGCAAGGACUCACUCAUCACCAAGGGGAUGGCCCCAGCCAUUCCUGAGAGAUCCGCCCCCUAACCCAAACACCUCCCACCAAGCCCCACCUCCAAGACUGGCGGUCAAAUUUUAACAUGAGACCUUCAUUAUCA
rnacentral:lncRNA from 10 species